rnacentral:rRNA from 1 species
CCUACGGGUGGCAGCAGUGAGGAAUAUUGGUCAAUGGACGAGAGUCUGAACCAGCCAAGUCGCGUGAAGGAUGACUGCUCUAUGGGUUGUAAACUGCUUUUAUAAAGGAGUAAAACGAGGAACGUGUGCCUCUUUGCAUGUACUUUAUGAAUAAGGAUCGGCUAACUCCGUGCCAGCAGCCGCGGUAAUACGGAGGAUCCGAGCGUUAUCCGGAUUUAUUGGGUUUAAAGGGAGCGUAGAUGGUUUGUUAAGUCAGUUGUGAAAGUUCGCGGCUCAACCGUAAAAUUGCAAAUGAUACUGGCAGUCUUGAGUACAGUUGAGGGAGGCGGAAUUCGUGGUGUAGCAGUGAAAUGCUUAGAUAUCACGAAGAACCCCGAUGGCGAAGGCAGCUUACUAAACUGUAACUGACAUUGAUGCACGAAGGUGUGGGUAUCAAACAGGAUUAGAUACCCCGGUAGUC